GACGAACGCUGGCGGCGUGCUUAACACAUGCAAGUCGAACGGAAAGGCCCUGCUUUUGUGGGGUGCUCGAGUGGCGAACGGGUGAGUAACACGUGAGUAACCUGCCCUUGACGUUGGGAUAACUUCAGGAAACUGGGGCUAAUACCGGAUAGGAGCUCCUGCUGCAUGGUGGGGGUUGGAAAGUUUCGGCGGUUGGGGAUGGACUCGCGGCUUAUCAGCUUGUUGGUGGGGUAGUGGCUUACCAAGGCUUUGACGGGUAGCCGGCCUGAGAGGGUGGCCGGGCACAUUGGGACUGCGGUACGGACCAGACUCCAACGGGAGGCAGCAGUGGGGAGUAUUGCACAGUGGGGGGAAGCCUGAUGCGGCAGCGCCGCGUGCGGGAUGACGGCCUUCGGGUUGUAAACCGCUUUCGCCUGUGACGAGGCGUGAGUGACGGUAAUGGGUAAAGAAGCACCGGCUAACUACGUG
rnacentral:rRNA from 1 species